UACGUAGGUGGCAAGCGUUAUCCGGAUUUACUGGGUGUAAAGGGUGCGUAGGCGGGCUUUUAAGUCAGCGGUAAAAAUUCGGGGCUCAACCCCGUCCGGCCGUUGAAACUGGGGGCCUUGAGUGGGCGAGAAGAAGGCGGAAUGCGUGGUGUAGCGGUGAAAUGCAUAGAUAUCACGCAGAACCCCGAUUGCGAAGGCAGCCUUCCGGCGCCCUACUGACGCUGAGGCACGAAAGUGCGGGGAUCGAACAGG
rnacentral:rRNA from 1 species